CCUACGGGUGGCUGCAGUGGGGAAUAUUGGACAAUGGGGGCAACCCUGAUCCAGCCAUGCCGCGUGUGUGAAGAAGGCCCUCGGGUUGUAAAGCACUUUCAGUGAGGAAGAACGCCUGGUGGUUAAUACCCAUCAGGAAAGACAUCACUCACAGAAGAAGCACCGGCUAACUCCGUGCCAGCAGCCGCGGUAAUACGGAGGGUGCGAGCGUUAAUCGGAAUUACUGGGCGUAAAGCGCGCGUAGGUGGCUUGAUAAGCCGGUUGUGAAAGCCCCGGGCUCAACCUGGGAACGGCAUCCGGACCUGUCAAGCUAGAGUGCAGGUGAGGAAGGUAGAAUUCCCGGUGUAGCGGUGAAAUGCGUAGAGAUCGGGAGGAAUACCAGUGGCGAAGGCGGCCUUCUGGACUGACACUGACACUGAGGUGCGAAAGCGUGGGUAGCAAACAGGAUUAGAUACCCCAGUAGUC
rnacentral:rRNA from 1 species